CUUGAGGGAGCCGAGCCACAGGGGCCGGUCCGCCUCGCGGCCCUGUCCGUAGACGUCGAGCAGGGCCUGGGCCUC
rnacentral:antisense_RNA from 1 species